rnacentral:rRNA from 1 species
ACAAGCCUGAGAAACGGCUAGUAGGACUAAGGUCUGCAGCAGGCGCGAAACUUACACAAUGCUAGAUUAAAAUUAGCGAUGUAGUGAAGAAAAAUAACGAUGUACUUCCAUUUAAACAUGGUAGUACAAUUGGAAUGAGUCGAGUCUAAACCAUUUAGACGAGUAUCCAAUGGAGGGCAAGUCUGGUGCCAGCAGCCGCGGUAAUUCCAGCUCCAUUAGCAUACAUUAAAGUUGUUGCGGUUAAAAAGCUCGUAGUUGAAUUUUAGGCGAGCUCUAUUGGGAUGCGAUCGUCAAGGUAUUCAUUCAUUCGUGAUUGUUUACUGAUCGUCAUUGCCCUAUAGGAACUCGCUGUUUCGUCACUUAAUCGAGUGCGAAGCGGGUUGGUGCAAGAUUACACUUUUCGAAGUUAAUCUGCCUCAACAUGGUUACCUUGAGAAAAUUAGAGUGCUCACAGCAGGCAGUUGGGGUGUAAAAGCUCCUUUAUGCUUGAAUAAUGUUGCAUGGAAUAAUAGAAUACGGCCUCGGUUCUAUUCUGUUGGUCUUAUAGAACAACAAACAAGUUGGUUAAAGCGAUCAAAAGUCGAUAUGUGGGUGUGAUGUUUGUAGCUGUUCACGUUACCUGGGGCCUUAAAAUCUCAGCGUCGUAACAAAUCUAACAUCACCUAAGCACCCCUUAUUUGCACUAGCUUUCUAAUCAACUGAGGCAAUGGUUAAAAGAAAUAGUCGCGGCGGCAUCAGUACUGCAUCGUGAGAG